rnacentral:rRNA from 1 species
CACGUAGGGCGCAAGCGUUGUCCGGAAUUAUUGGGCGUAAAGAGCUCGUAGGCGGUCUGUUGCGUCCGCUGUGAAAACCCGGGGCUUAACCCCUGGCUUGCAGUGGAUACGGACAGACUAGAGGUAGGUAGGGGAGAAUGGAAUUCCCGGUGUAGCGGUGAAAUGCGCAGAUAUCGGGAGGAACACCUAUGGCGAAGGCAGCUCGCUGGGACGUUACUGACGCUGAGACGCGAAAGCGUGGGGAGCAAACAGG